AACUUGCCCCGAGAUGAGUUCUCCCUGACCCUUUAAGGGUCCUGAAGGAACGUUGAAGACGACGACGUUGAUAGGCCGGGUGUGUAAGCGCAGCGAUGCGUUGAGCUAACCGGUACUAAUGAACCGUGAGGCUUAACCUUA
rnacentral:rRNA from 1 species